rnacentral:rRNA from 1 species
UACGGAGGGUGCAAGCGUUGUUCGGAAUCACUGGGCGUAAAGGGAGCGUAGGCGGACUUUAAAGUCUGAUGUGAAAGCCCGGGGCUCAACUCCGGAAGUGCAUUGGAAACUUAAAGUCUUGAGUUCGGGAGAGGAAGGCAGAAUUCCCGGUGUAGGGGUGAAAUCCGUAGAGAUCGGGAGGAAAACCAGUGGCGAAGGCGGCCUUCUGGAACGAAACUGACGCUGAGGCUCGAAAGCGUGGGGAGCAAAC